rnacentral:rRNA from 1 species
UACGUGCCAGCAGCCGCGNUAAUACGUAGGGUGCAAGCGUUGUCCGGAUUUACUGGGCGUAAAGAGCUCGUAGGUGGUGUGUCGCGUCGUCUGUGAAAUUCCGGGGCUUAACUCCGGGCGUGCAGGCGAUACGGGCACGACUAGAGUGCUGUAGGGGUAACUGGANUUCCUGGUGUAGCGGUGAAAUGCGCAGAUAUCAGGAGGAACACCGAUGGCGAAGGCAGGUUACUGGGCAGUUACUGACGCUGAGGAGCGAAAGCAUGGGGAGCGAACAGGAUUAGAUACCCUGGUAGUCCAUGCUGUAAGCGGUGGGCGCUAGGUGUGGGCUGUGUGUUUGCAGUCUGUGCCGUAGCUAACGCAUUAAGCGCCCCGCCUGGGGAGUACGGCCGCAAGGCUAAAACUCAAAGGAAUUGACGGGGGCCCGCACAAGCGGCGGAGCAUGUGGAUUAAUUCGAUGCAACGCGAAGAACCUUACCUGGGUUUGACAUGCACCAGAUCGGCGUAGAGAUACGUCUUCCCUUGUGGUUGGUGCACAGGUGGUGCAUGGUUGUCGUCAGCUCGUGUCGUGAGAUGUUGGGUUAAGUCCCGCAACGAGCGCAACCCUUGUCUUAUGUUGCCAGCACAUUUUUGGUGGGGACUCAUGAGAAACUGCCGGGGUCAACUCGGAGGAAGGUGGGGAUGACGUCAAAUCAUCAUGCCCUUUAUACCCAGGGCUUCACACAUGCUACAAUGGUCGGUACAGCGGGUUGCGACACUGUGAAGUGAAGCUAAUCUCUGAAAGCCGGCCUCAGUUCGGAUUGGGGUCUGUAACUCGACCCCAUGAAGUCGGAGUCGCUAGUAAUCGCAGAUCAGCAACGCUGCGGUGAAUACGUUCCCGGGCCUUGUACACACCGCCCGUCACGUCAUGAAAGUUGGUAACACCCGAAGCCCAUGGCCUAACC